rfam:Bacillus sp. SA1-12 scf7180000003361, whole genome shotgun sequence.
ACGAUGUUCCGCUGCAAUUAGAAGAUUGGUAAGAGCAUCUG